rnacentral:rRNA from 1 species
AGCGAACGCUGGCGGCAGGCCUAACACAUGCAAGUCGAACGAACCCUUCGGGGUUAGUGGCGGAAGGGUGAGUAAUACGUGGGAACGUGCCAUUAGGUCCGGAAUAACUCAGGGAAACUUGUGCUAAUACCGAAUGUGCCCUUCGGGGGAAAGAUUUAUCGCCUUUAGAGCGGCCCGCGUCUGAUUAGCUAGUUGGUGAGGUAAUGGCUCACCAAGGCUACGAUCAGUAGCUGGUCUGAGAGGAUGACCAGCCACAUUGGGACUGAGACACGGCCCAAACUCCUACGGGAGGCAGCAGUGGGGAAUCUUGCGCAAUGGGCGAAAGCCUGACCCAGCCAUGCCGCGUGAAUGAUGAAGGUCUUAGGAUUGUAAAAUUCUUUCACCGGGGACGAUAAUGACGGUACCCGGAGAAGAAGCCCCGGCUAACUUCGUGCCAGCCGCCGCCGUAAUAC